rnacentral:rRNA from 1 species
CACGUAGGGUGCGAGCGUUGUCCGGAAUUAUUGGGGCGUAAAGAGCUCGUAGGCGGCGCGUUAAGACAGGUGUGAAAGCCCCGAGCUUAACUUGGGAAUUGCGCUUGUGACUGGCGUGCUGGAGUGUGGCAGAGGGAGGUGGAAUUCCACGUGUAGCAGUGAAAUGCGUAGAGAUGUGGAGGAACACCGAUGGCGAAGGCAGCCUCCUGGGCCAGCACUGACGCUCAUGCACGAAAGCGUGGGGAGCAAACAGG